AAAAAAAAAAAAAAAAAAGAAGAAGCCAAAAGUAAGAGAAACUCAAAUAUACAAUAAGGAGGAAGAAAAAAACAAAGAAGAAAUCAAAAGAGAUAUAAUCAGAAGUCUCGAGUUCAAGCCUUGAGAAUAUAGAUCUUCCGAUAAUAUCAAACACUUCUCCUUAUAUGAACUUCAGAUAAAGGAAAGAAAAGAAAGGACUAAAAAAAGAUGUGAGCAAUUUCAUUAAAAGUCAUCUAUCCAUCAUUUCUGGAAUUUCAGGGCUCUCUGUAAUGCUUUCUAAACUUGGUUUCCAUCCACAAGUAAUUUUCCCUCUAUUUCUUUCAAUUUCACCCAAAACUUCCUCUAAAUUUUUCCCUUCUUGAAAUUUCAGCUUAAGAAGUAGCCAUUCCAAUUCUUCUUUAGUCAAAACUAUUUUCAAUCUCAUAUUUGUUUUUCCCUUUUCCAUCUCAAUGUUUUCCUUUAUAAAUUCCCCUGUUUUUUCUUCUUGCACCCUUAAUUCCU